UACUGGCUCGAACCCACGAUCUAAAGCUAACGGCAGCAACAACUCCGCUCUGUGUGUCCCAGACACGCUUUAAAUAGCUCAGCCUCGGUCAACAGUGAACUGUGGAGGCAGGCAGGAGAAGCUAGCUGUGCUAACCGGCUCCCAAUCAUCCGCUACCGGCGGCUGGAGUCCGGGUAGAGGCGAGCCCGGCGGUUCUUUCCCAGCAUGAAGUCAACUAUAAGCGCCGCUCACCUCUUCAGCGCGGGGGACCCCAACACGGAGUAGCUCUGCCUCACUGCUCGGACACACCAGCUCGCCAUUUUCCAAA